rnacentral:rRNA from 1 species
AUUGAACGCUGGCGGCAUGCCUUACACAUGCAAGUCGAACGGCAGCACGGGCUUCGGUCUGGUGGCGAGUGGCGAACGGGUGAGUAAUGUAUCGGAACGUACCUUUCAGUGAGGGAUAACGUAGCGAAAGUUACGCUAAUACCGCAUAUUCUGUGAGCAGGAAAGCAGGGGAUCGCAAGACCUUGCGCUGAUUGAGCGGCGGAUAUCAGAUUAGCUAGUUGGUGGGGUAAAAGCUCACCAAGGCGACGAUCUGUAGCGGGUCUGAGAGGAUGAUCCGCCACACUGGAACUGAGACACGGUCCAGACUCCUACGGGAGGCAGCAGUGGGGAAUUUUGCGCAAUGGGGGAAACCCUGACGCAGCAACGCCGCGUGAGCGAUGAAGGCCUUCGGGUCGUAAAGCUCUGUCAGAGGGGAAGAAAUGACGAGUCGCUAAUACCGGCUCUUCUUGACGGUACCCUCAAAGGAAGCACCGGCUAACUCCGUGCCAGCAGCCGCCGUAACAC